rnacentral:lncRNA from 1 species
GGGUUUCACGUUGUUCAUGGAAUUUUCGAUGAUCCCGACGGCCGGCGAGGAGUUUAAAAACAUGGGAAGAAAGAGAAGAGGGAGAGGAAGAAAAUUUGGAGCAUUACCUGAGCUCCGGUGGCCUCUUCAACCUUCUAUUUUUUAUGAACACGAGAAGAGGCUGUCGCGGCUUCUACGGAGAAAAGGAGAGGAAUCGGGCUCGAAGAUCAUCGGUGGAGGGUCUUGAGAGAGGGAGAGGCUUAUUUAUAGGGGUCCCUAGGGCUCGGGUGAUCCUAGGACUCCCCUUCCAUCAG